UCCUGAGGUGGAGCCUGCGGGGGUUGGACUUUGAUGAUAGGCCUCCACACGGAGUGGAGGAGGGGGAACGAACAGUCCGCGUGAGCCAAUGGGGAAAGCGCCACGGACACCGGAUGUGCAAUAAAGUCAGUUCCGGGGGACAUUUUCUGCAGCAGCACUCUCCCGUGGAAGGAAGCAUGCGUCCUCCGGCCCGACACGCUGGACCGGGAACACUCGCGUUUUCCUAUGUUUGUUAACCGCAAUUUAUGCGCAGUUUUUCCUCUAAUAGUUAUUGUGCUACGUGAUGGUUAGAGGUUGCGGGAAAAUGUUUGAUAAUUUGAUAAAGGUGUAAAAACUAACGAGGCAAUGUGACUAGGCCCGACCAGCGAGGAAAAUGAGAAGGGCUGGAUUGGCGCUGUGUCUUUGAGGUGAAUGCACAUCCACACGUGGACACAAGGCGGUGGACCUGUAGAUGAAGGCCGCCUAAGGAGCUGCUGUACACGAGUGUGCACGGAUCUCUGCAAUAAAAGCACAGUAAGU